rnacentral:lncRNA from 14 species
GCUCUCAGCUGGGCCCUGAACUGGUGCUGCAAUGGUUAGCAGUGUUAUCAUGAAGAUCAUUUCUAACAUAAAAGAUGCAUUGCUCAUGUGUGAGAGCUGCACAAGGAAUGAAUGGCAGAACCAAGGCCUGAGACACCCAUUUGGAGGACCAGUCCAGCACUUGAAAAGAAAACAUCCAGUUUUCAGUUUUCCUUUUGGCUGGAAUAAAUUAAGGCAGCAAUGGAAAGUACAGGUGCAAACUCAAAACCCUGUAGUGGUUCUGUUUGGAGAAGCGGGUGUAGAAGUACUUGAUGUUUCAAAUGCAAAUACUGUUCUGCAGCUCAGCUCCGAAAGAGAUAAACAUCACUGUUCUGUGGAAUUUAACUUUGAUAGUCCCAAGCAAAGAAUAAAAAAACAAGUGAAAGCGAUACCCUGUCACACCAAGAGAAAGUAAAUUGAAGGUGUCAUGGGGCAGGAUAGAUACAGGCGCCUGGCAUCUGCAGCAUCAGAUUAAAUUGGCAUGUGCUGUGGGUGCUCAGCACCUUCAAAAAUCUGGCCCUUCAGCAUCUUUUCCCUUAAUCAGGAGCACUGGAGCAUUGCCAAACUCUAAAAGGUUGGGCUAGGCAAAAGAAAGUUAGUUUAGCUUGUUGAGUCAAGUGAUUUCGUGUAACUUGCUCUAGAGGGAGGCUUUUUUCUUUCCAAAGGGAAUCAAUUGCCAGUGGUUAAAAUGCACUUUUAGAAUUUAUAUGUUUAAUUAGGAAUCGGAAAUUUGAUAAGGCAGAAGGGACAGAUGGGAACUUUUAGUGCAUUCCUGCUUCGAGUAUGUGAGGAAUGAUUUAAAUUUGUUGAGAAAGGAGGAAGAGUCGGGAAAAAGAUAUUUUCAAGACAAAAGAAAAAGCAUUUUGUCUCACUGAUGAGGAAGUAUUGGUCUGUCGAAUUGAAACUGCUCAGCUGCCUUUCUUACACAUCUAGAAACCCUAGUUGCUAAGCUAGGUAAGUGCAGAUUGUAUCUACUAUCAAGCUCAAGUUUGUUUCCUUGGGCAGCAAAUCUUCCUUGCCUAAAAAGUUUCCUCAUGGUGGGAUGUAGCCAUUCUUCAUUCAUCUUGAUGUCUCUUUCAAGUCUGGAGCCCACGUGGCUGAUUUGCAAGUUGUGUACUUCAGAGGCGGUCUGGACUACAUGAGACCUCUCUGUGAAUGUUGUAUUGCUGGGACAGGAGGUAUAGAGAAAGGGAAAACAUACUCAUCACGGUUUUUCUUGGCUUAGUUGUCUCCCAGGAAAUUUCAUGCGAGAACAUGGCAAAAUUCUAGGUCCACCUGAAAGUGUUUUGGAUUUUUUUAACGUCUGGUAAAACACAGCUAGGACUGAAGAAAUAUUUUGCUUUUUUCUGGAGCAAUUAUUCUGGGAAGGAAGCUAAUGAGAAACUCAUACAAAGUAGCUCUACUUUUUUUCUGUAAAACCUUCACUUAGGAUAUUUUUAAUGGGUUUAAAUAUGCUUUAAAAUAAACCUCAAUAAAGCAGGGAUUUUAAGUAUGGU